UGACGCGUGUGGAUACACACAGAGAGAAGAGAGGGGCUGUUGGGGGCUGGUAAACCAGGGUCCGGCACUGACCACAGACUUCAGGCUUGCGUGCUUGUGAGAGAGAGAUAGAGAGUGAGAGAGAAAAAGAGAGGGAAGAAGGGGACAGAUCUUGACCGUACCUCUACGAUUGUGAAUUCAGAAAACGAGCCAGUUCGAUAACGCGAGUGUGGAUUGUGUUUAUUGAAUUGUGACAGAAUGUGCAGCAGGUGGUUCCGCUCAUUUCAUAGAGGAUUUUUUUUUAGAUCAGUGUUGUCACAUAGUUUGAUCUCUAUCAAUUUACGUUGUUCAUUCGGAAACUAAUAUUGCCAACAACUUUGACCGUUAUGUAGCCUUGACAGCAUAGACAGACAAGCAAAAGAAAUAUCGCUACACCUGAAGAUUCAUCGGGCCAGAAGAACCGAGUUCUACUUUCAAUUUAAAAAAAUGUAUAUAUUACCGUCAAGGAACUAGCAGAGAUCUGAAGACACAUCUUCCUCGUUUAUCCAA